rnacentral:rRNA from 1 species
GAUGAACGCUGGCGGCGUGCCUAAUACAUGCAAGUCGAGCGAACGGACGAGAAGCUUGCUUCUCUGAUGUUAGCGGCGGACGGGUGAGUAACACGUGGAUAACCUACCUAUAAGACUGGGAUAACUUCGGGAAACCGGAGCUAAUACCGGAUAAUAUUUUGAACCGCAUGGUUCAAAAGUGAAAGACGGUCUUGCUGUCACUUAUAGAUGGAUCCGCGCUGCAUUAGCUAGUUGGUAAGGUAACGGCUUACCAAGGCAACGAUGCAUAGCCGACCUGAGAGGGUGAUCGGCCACACUGGAACUGAGACACGGUCCAGACUCCUACGGGAGGCAGCAGUAGGGAAUCUUCCGCAAUGGGCGAAAGCCUGACGGAGCAACGCCGCGUGAGUGAUGAAGGUCUUCGGAUCGUAAAACUCUGUUAUUAGGGAAGAACAUAUGUGUAAGUAACUGUGCACAUCUUGACGGUACCUAAUCAGAAAGCCACGGCUAACUACGUGCCAGCAGCCGCGGUAAUACGUAGGUGGCAAGCGUUAUCCGGAAUUAUUGGGCGUAAAGCGCGCGUAGGCGGUUUUUUAGGUCUGAAUGUGAAAGCCCACGGCUCAACCGUGGAGGGUCAUUGGAAACUGGAAAACUUGAGUGCAGAAGAGGAAAGUGGAAUUCCAUGUGUAGCGGUGAAAUGCGCAGAGAUAUGGAGGAACACCAGUGGCGAAGGCGACUUUCUGGUCUGUAACUGACGCUGAUGUGCGAAAGCGUGGGGAUCAAACAGGAUUAGAUACCCUGGUAGUCCACGCCGUAAACGAUGAGUGCUAAGUGUUAGGGGGUUUCCGCCCCUUAGUGCUGCAGCUAACGCAUUAAGCACUCCGCCUGGGGAGUACGACCGCAAGGUUGAAACUCAAAGGAAUUGACGGGGACCCGCACAAGCGGUGGAGCAUGUGGUUUAAUUCGAAGCAACGCGAAGAACCUUACCAAAUCUUGACAUCCUUUGACAACUCUAGAGAUAGAGCCUUCCCCUUCGGGGGACAAAGUGACAGGUGGUGCAUGGUUGUCGUCAGCUCGUGUCGUGAGAUGUUGGGUUAAGUCCCGCAACGAGCGCAACCCUUAAGCUUAGUUGCCAUCAUUAAGUUGGGCACUCUAAGUUGACUGCCGGUGACAAACCGGAGGAAGGUGGGGAUGACGUCAAAUCAUCAUGCCCCUUAUGAUUUGGGCUACACACGUGCUACAAUGGACAAUACAAAGGGCAGCGAAACCGCGAGGUCAAGCAAAUCCCAUAAAGUUGUUCUCAGUUCGGAUUGUAGUCUGCAACUCGACUACAUGAAGCUGGAAUCGCUAGUAAUCGUAGAUCAGCAUGCUACGGUGAAUACGUUCCCGGGUCU